UCAGUACUCCCUCCGAUCGGAAUUACUUGUCGCAGAAAUGGAUGUAUCUAGAUGUAUUUUAAUUCUAGGUACAUCCAUAUCCGAGACAAGUAAUUUCGAACGGAGGAAGUAGUUC
rfam:Triticum urartu cultivar G1812 contig274321, whole genome shotgun sequence.